rnacentral:rRNA from 1 species
CAAUAGCGUAUAUUAAAGUUGUUGCGGUUAAAAAGCUCGUAGUUGGAUUUCUGCUGAGAACGACCGGUCCGCCCUUUGGGUGUGUAUCUGGCUCUUUCUUGGCAUCUUCUUGGUGAACGUUGCUGCACUUGACUGUGUGGAGCGCUACCCAGGACUUUUACUUUGAGGAAAUUAGAGUGUUUCAAGCAGGCAUACGCCUUGAAUACAUUAGCAUGGAAUAAUAAGAUAGGACCUCGGUUCUAUUUUGUUGGUUUCUAGAGCUGAGGUAAUGAUUAAUAGGGAUAGUUGGGGGCAUUCGUAUUUAACUGUCAGAGGUGAAAUUCUUGGAUUUGUUAAAGACGGACUACUGCGAAAACGUUUGCCAAGGAUGUUUUCAUUGA